GGUUCUGCUGGACAGUAGAGUACCGCCGGGAGCCAGUGGCACGUUUCCUUGUUAAGGUAGCUUUGAGGAACAGGAGAGAUGGGAUGAAAUUGCCAGGUGGGAAGCAGUGGUGGGUGAGGAGGGUACUGGGAUAUUCCUGUGGCAUCCUGAUGAAGGAUGCACUUCUCCCUAGGGGGAACUGUGCCGCUGCUAUUGGGAUAUGCCACGCGUAGAGUGUCCCUCUCAAGAGAGGGACCGAGCAGGGCUUUUCUGCCUGAGAAGAGAGAAAAUGCACUGUCCCUAAGGUCUGGAGAUGCACUAGAAGUUAAAGACCGAGUGGUUUACUCUGGCUUCAUCGUCUGGUUCUGUUCUUUUGACGUGCUGAGAAGCAUGAACUCUGAUGGGAGGUUCUCCACAUAAUGCCAGAGAUUUGUAAACCUAUCCUCCAGUGUGUACCUGGUACAAUGGAUGUGUCCUCAUCUGUAAGAGCCGGGCUAUGUCUUGCUGUGGACAGGACUGCUGACUAAGUUUUCUCACUACCCUGUGAGUCCAUUUUGAAAGCUCUGGCAUAAAAGCAAUCUGUAACUUAAGCACCAAGUACAAGAAAUGUGUACAAAUUACCAGGUCAGCUGCCGACGAACCUUUUGAAGGGCAUCUUGAAAUACUUGCUUUUAGAGCUCCAAACAAAGGGUCGUGGGAAAUGAGGGGAAAUACAUCCCGGUUGCCAUGGGAUUUGGUGUGUCCUGGGAACUGGGUAUAACCUUUACAGAGCCUGGUAGAGGAUUUCAGCGAGAAAUGGCACUUCUCCUGUACUGUGUGCCGUUGUUCAGAAGAGAUAAUUUCUGAAGGCAAAAUGCUUGAAUGCAGUAUUUCUGUAAAAAUUGCCCAAAAUGCUGAAAGGUUGAUUUCCUUUAGAAAAAGUAAGCUAAAUGUGUAUCCCUGCUUCUUCCUUCUCUCUUUGAAACUAAUCAUCAGCAUCACUUCAUGCAACCUACAUUAACUUCUGCAAUACCCGAACAUACAUAUCUGUGAAUAAGGGUUUUCUCUUGAAUACGGACCUUAAGCACUGCUGAUUUAUCACCUCAGUAUCAUAUGGAACAUGCUUGAUGACACAGUUACAUCUGUUCAUACAGAGGAGAAAUUUUGUCACUGCGGAUUUUGGAGCUCCUAGUUGAUUUCUCAGCUUUCAGUGCACAAGUCUUUGAACUGAACUAGUUUAAUAAACCAAAAUGUCUCCCUGUACUGAGAAAAACGACUCCUGUUGUCAAAAUAAGGUUCUUGUUUUAACAAGCCAUGAAUCUAGAAGUUUGGGCCACGGGGUGUAUAGAUUUAGUGGUUUGAUAUAAAGUGCCAGC